rnacentral:sRNA from 2 species
UUCAAUGAUCGACGUGUGAAGGAACAAAAAAAGAAUGAACAAAUAAAUAAUAGAAUCAGACUCAGGGUCGGAGACAUCGAACCGAAUGUCUCCAGCAUAACGUGUCGGUGUCCACAUUGCGCUGAUGAAUUCCUGGUCGACAAUGAUCCUGAGAUUGUCAGCGGACUGAUCACUGAGCAGCUAUUGUUUUUCCAAUUAAGUGAGCCGACUGAGAGAAGGAUGUGGGCAUCUCGCCUUUGAAACCCGGAAUGGCGGUUGGCAACCCGAUUCUAUUAUGUUAUCUCUCUACAACCUCUCUUAAGCUUGUGGGAGAGUCGCUAUUCAAUACGGGGAAAAAGGCACAUCUGACGAGCAAGGAGGAAAGAAGAUUAACUAAAGAUUAGAUACGAAACUAAUCCACCCCCAUUCUCUCUUAAUCAGGACUCAAUUUUCAUGUCUUUCUUCUCACGACAUCGGGAUUUUCCUUAACCAUCUGCAAGUGCUCGACCUUCUUACAGAUUACUAUUUUACCCCCGAAUCUUCGGUAUUCCAUUUCCUUUGCAACAUCGGGGUUCUACUGGGUUGGAUGAGAGCCAUUCGCCAUAAUAUCAGUUGUGAUUGCUGCGAGUAUCAUGACGAGCGCGCUUUGCCGGUGAACGGUUGGUAUUCUCGGUAUCAGGCCCGCGGGUAGAGCGUGUCUUUGUGAUCUGUUAUUUUUUUCGGCUCGGGGAAUUCACAGUCAGUCUCAAAUCUAUCUUUAAAAAUAACAAAUAAAAAUUUAAGUCUAGCUAGACUUCAUUAUGAUCGAAAUAAAAGCCUUAGGGCACCCACAAAUCUCGGUCGAAGUUCCCUCAACCCACUUUCCAGCAUCAGCUUUAGCUGGCCGCAGCGUUUCCUCGCCUUUUCCAAGUCAUUUCGAUACUUUUGAGUGUUCCGGUAAAGAUCAGCCAGCUCCUUUUUUUCCUUCUCAAUUUGGCUCAGCAGGUGGCCAUCAUGAGUCCCUUCAGCAACUCGUGUUGCAUCGUGUAUGGCAACUUCCUUCAGUUGGAUUCGCUCCAGGAUCUCAGUGCACUUGUUGCUACACAGACAAGUCUGCUUAUGAAAUUUCUCGAUAUUGGCCAUCGCCCAAUCCUCGAACUCCGCAUACUGUUUUGCCUUGAUGUCAGCGUCAGGCUGAUUUCUCUCGCGUCGAGGAGGUUCGCCGGCCAUUUUUUUCUUUUUAUUUUCGUGCUGUAUAUUUCUUAGUUCUGUUUUGAUUUCUUUUUUUGAACAGCUGCGACUGAAAGAUUCGGGGUACUAACAGAGAGGGAACUGGAGAGUUGACCAGUAUAACAAAAAUGUCCACAGGAAGGAUCGCGGAAACCUGAAGGCAGGAGGGUUGCUAAAUGGAUGUAAGAUUUCGGUGUGGGCUUCAGCACCCAAGAAAUAUAUUGUUACCCUCUCCAAAACGAUUCAUAGCAGGGGCUGGCCAGUGUUAUUCACCCUGAAGCAUUGUGUUAACAUUUCUGUUUGCCGCUCUUCUGAGACAUCCUUCGUAGGACCUGUUUGCUUUAGAAAGUAUCAGUGUAUGAUAUCCUUCCUACAAGUCCAAAUAUUGCAUGUCUUGCUUGAAAACAAAGGGA